rnacentral:rRNA from 1 species
ACGGCGAGUGAAGCGGCAACAGCUCAAAUUUGAAAUCUGGCCCCGCCGGGGUCCGAGUUGUAAUUUGUAGAGAGUGCUUCGGGUGCGACCGCGGUCUAAGUCCAUUGGAACAUGGCGUCAUAGAGGGUGAGAAUCCCGUAUGUGACUGUGGCUCAAGCCCGUGCGAAGCCUCUUCGACGAGUCGAGUUGUUUGGGAAUGCAGCUCAAAAUGGGUGGUAAAUUUCAUCUAAAGCUAAAUACUGGCUGGAGACCGAUAGCGCACAAGUAGAGUGAUCGAAAGAUGAAAAGCACUUUGGAAAGAGAGUCAAACAGUACGUGAAAUUGUUGAAAGGGAAGCGCUUGCAACCAGACCUGUCCGUAGGUGAUCAGCCGCUGUUCUCAGUGGUGCACUCGCUCUGCGAUCAGGCCAGCAUCGGUUCGGGCGGCCGGAUAAAGGCCUUGGGAAUGUACCUCCUCCCGGGGAGUCUUAUAGCCCUCGGUGCAAUGCGGCCAGCCGGGACCGAGGACCGCGCUUCGGCUAGGAUGCUGGCGUAAUGGUUGUAAGCGACCCGUCUUGAAACACGGACCAAGGAGUCUAACAUCUACGCGAGUGUUUGGGUGUUAAACCCAUGCGCGGAAUGAAAGUGAACGGAGGUGAGAACCCUUAAGGGCGCAUCAUCGACCGAUCCAGAUGUCUUCGGAUGGAUUUGAGUAUGAGCGUAGCUGUUGGGACCCGAAAGACAGUGAACUAUGCCUGAAUAGGGUGAAGCCAGAGGAAACUCUGGUGGAGGCUCGCAGCGGUUCUGACGUGCAAAUCGAUCGUCAAAUUUGGGUAUAGGGGCGAAAGACU